UACGUAGGGGGCAAGCGUUGUCCGGAAUCAUUGGGCGUAAGGCGCGCGUAGGCGGCCAGAUAAGUCCGGUGUGAAAGUCACAGGCUCAACCUGUGAAUGCCGCUGGAAACUGUCUGGCUUGAGUCCGGAAGGGGCGAGUGGAAUUCCUGGUGUAGCGGUGAAAUGCGCAGAUAUCAGGAGGAACACCAAUGGCGAAGGCAGCUCGCUGGAACGGUACUGACGCUGAGGCGCGAAAGCGUGGGGAGCGAACAGG
rnacentral:rRNA from 1 species